UGCCAAUGAUGUGUCCAUAUUUGCUACUCUUGACUGCUUGUAUGACGAAUAAAAUCACCACAAAAGACUGAGGCA
rfam:Lingula anatina scaffold849, whole genome shotgun sequence.